rnacentral:rRNA from 1 species
AUCAUUACGAAAUGUUGUAGUAUUGAAGCGCCCCACGGCGCUCCUACACUUCACCCUUUGCCUAUACGUACCUUAUAGCUUCCUCGGCAGGCUCGCCUGCCGCUAGGAACCAACCAAACCCUUUGCAUUAUACAUGAAAACUUCUGAUACAAACCUAAAUUAUCACAACUUUCAACAAUGGAUCUCUUGGUUCUGGCAUCGAUGAAGAACGCAGCGAAAUGCGAUAAGUAGUGUGAAUUGCAGAAUUCAGUGAAUCAUCGAAUCUUUGAACGCACAUUGCGCCCCUCGGUAUUCCGUGGGGCAUGCCUGUUCGAGCGUCAUUUACACCCUCAAGCUACGCUUGGUGUUGGGCGUCUGUCCCGCCUCUGUGCGCGGACUCGCCUCAAAGUCAUUGGCAGCGGUCUCGCCGGCUCCUCGCGCAGCACAUUUGCGCUUCUCGGAGAAAACGGUGGAUCCGCGCUCCAGCAAGACCUUUCAUGACUUGACCUCGGAUCAGGUAGGGAUACCCGCUGAACUUAAGCAUAUCAAUAAGCGGAGGAAAAGAAACCAACAGGGAUUGCCCUAGUAACGGCGAGUGAAGCGGCAACAGCUCAAAUUUGAAAUCUGGCCCUUUCAGGGUCCGAGUUGUAAUUUGCAGAGGGUGCUUUGGCGUUGGCGGCGGUCUAAGUUCCUUGGAACAGGACAUCGCAGAGGGUGAGAAUCCCGUAUGUGGUCGCAUGCCUUCGCCGUGUAAAGCCCCUUCGACGAGUCGAGUUGUUUGGGAAUGCAGCUCUAAAUGGGAGGUAAAUUUCUUCUAAAGCUAAAUACCGGCCAGAGACCGAUAGCGCACAAGUAGAGUGAUCGAAAGAUGAAAAGCACUUUGGAAAGAGAGUCAAACAGCACGUGAAAUUGUUGAAAGGGAAGCGCUUGCAGCCAGACUUGCCUGUAGUUGCUCACCUGGGCUUUUGCCCGGGGCACUCUUCUGCAGGCAGGCCAGCAUCAGUUUGGGCGGUCGGAUAAAGGCCUCUGACACGUACUUCCUUUCGGGGUUGACAUAUAGGGGAGGCGUAAUGCGACCAGCCUGGACUGAGGUCCGCGCAU